rnacentral:misc_RNA from 1 species
GAUGAAGAACGUAGCGAAAUGCGAUACUUGGUGUGAAUUGCAGAAUCCCGUGAACCAUCGAGUCUUUGAACGCAAGUUGCGCCCGAAGCCAUUAGGCCGAGGGCACGCCUGCCUGGGCGUCACACGUCGUUGCCCCCCCAUCUACUCCUUCGGGAUUGCGGGGGGCGGAUGAUGGCCUCCCGUGCGCCUCGUCGUGCGGUUGGCAUAAAUGCCAAGUCCUCGGCGACGCACGCCACGACAAUCGGUGGUUGCGAAACCUCGGUUGCCCGUCGUGUGCGGUCGUCGCGCAUCGAGGGCUCGAAAAAAUUGCCGGGCUCCGGCUCGGCUUUCAACGCGACCCCAGGUCAGGCGGGGUUACCCGCUGAAUUUAAGCAUAUCAAUAAGCGGAGA